GCAGGGCCAUGGCCCUGGCCGCGGCGCAGCUCCGGGGGCUCCAGGCCCGGCACGAACAGAGAACGGCGGCGCUGCAGCAGCCGCGCCCCCUCCGCGAAGGCGAUGCGGGGUGGGGGCUAGAGGGCUGGACCCCGAACCCGCCCCCAUAGAAGUCAAUUGGGACAGCUCAGAGCCAGGUUUUUCAACGGCGUCGUUGAUUGUGGCGCCGGGAGGACGUUGCAUACAUGGGGGUGGAGCAGAGGGGAAGGGAGAUGCGUUAAGAUUAUCAACAGAGGAACAAUGGAACUCUCAUAUCAUCUUUGUUAAAGUGAGAUACUGCAUUCUAUAUUGAAGUCUUGAAGGGUGUUUUGAUUUUGGGGAUUGCCAGAAAAAUCUU